rnacentral:rRNA from 1 species
AACAAACGCUGGCGGCGUGCCUAACACAUGCAAGUCGUACGAGAAAGUUGGCUUCGGCCAAUGAGUAAAGUGGCGCACGGGUGAGUAACGCGUGGAUAAUCUGCCCUUCAGCGGGGAAUAACCCAUCGAAAGGUGGGCUAAUACCCCAUAACACUGUUUUACAACUGUCAAACAGUCAAAGAGAGCCUCUGCUUGCAAGCUUUUACUGAAGGUUGAGUCCGCGUACCAUUAGCUAGUUGGUAGGGUAAUGGCCUACCAAGGCGACGAUGGUUAGCUGGUCUGGGAGGAUGAUAAGCCACACUGGAACUGAGACACGGUCCAGGAUCCUACGGGAGGCAGCAGUGAGGAAUCUUGCGCAAUGGGGGAAACCCUGACGCAGCAACGCCGCGUGAGUGAGGAAGGUCUUCGGGUCGUAAAGCUCUGUCAGGCGGGAAGAAAUGCAUGGAGGUGAACAGCCGCCAUGCUUGACGGUACCGCCAGAGGAAGCACCGGCUAACUCCGUGCCAGCCGCCGCAGUAACAC